rnacentral:misc_RNA from 1 species
UUGGGCAUGGAUUCUUGACAAAGGUAUUCAUAUUACUAACCCUAAUAUACCACAUCGUUUCCUUUUAAAAUAGCUAUUUCUAAUUUACUUUGGAUGCUAGAUCUUUUUUUGGGACAUUGCCUAGUGCAAUGGCCAGGGUUCUGGAUUGAAAACUGUCCAGCUAUGAAGUUCCAUUUCAAAGCUUGAAAGGCUUCACAUGCAAAAAUGCUAAAGGGUAGGACCACUUCUAGAGUAGAUAACGUUUUUCAUCUUCUACUUGUCCUUCUUUUUUGGAUCAGUGUAGGCUGGUAGGCCAUUGGCCUUUGGAUGCGCAAGAUGGUAUGCUUUCUUGUCCCACAGCAGCCGCUGACCCACAUUGCAGUAGAAUUUAGAUGCGUGCAAUGCUGCAACCUUUAAGUUGGAAUUCUCAUGAUCAAACCAUUUGCUUGUACUCUUCCAGACAGCUUUUUUUAAAUUUUUUAUUUUUUAUUUUUUUGUAGUCGAUAAGGAAAAUUAUGCUUUUAAUCGUUGAAUCAAGCUAAGCUAAAUGGCAAUAUAGCAUACAAUUAAUAUUGGUUUUAGC